rnacentral:rRNA from 1 species
AACGAACGCUGGCGGCGUGCUUAACACAUGCAAGUCGAACGCGAAGGGACUCGGUCCUGAGUAAAGUGGCGCACGGGUGAGUAACGCGUAGAUAACCUGUCUUCAUGUCUGGAAUAAUACGCCGAAAGGGGUACUAAUACCGGAUAUUCUUGCUUUUCAUAAGUUAUGCAAGCAAAGGUGGCCUCUGCAUAUGCUACUGCAUGAAGAGGGGUCUGCGUACCAUUAGCUAGUAGGUGGGGCAAUGGCCUACCUAGGCGACGAUGGUUAGCGGGUCUGAGAGGAUGAUCCGCCACACUGGCACUGGAACACGGGCCAGACUCCUACGGGAGGCAGCAGUGAGGAAUAUUGCGCAAUGGGGGAAACCCUGACGCAGCGACGCCGCGUGAGUGAGGAAGGCCUUCGGGUCGUAAAGCUCUGUCAAGAGGAAAGAAGUGUACAAUGGCUAAUACCUGUUGUAUUUGACGGUACCUCUAAAGGAAGCACCGGCUAACUCCGUGCCAGCAGCUGC